UUUCUCUUACAUAGUGCCAGGGGCGUAGUGCAGGCCACACCUGGACUUCCAUAUCAUAUCAUCAUGUCAUAACAUAUGAGGGCUAAGGGAUCAUUCAACAUUCAUCCAUAUCAACAACAUAUUAUGCAAUGCAACAUAUUCGUAAUUUCUAAUGCAAACAACCUAAAAUAUCACAUGGCAUCCGUGAUGCAUGAACAUGCUCAAAACUGAUUUAUUUA
rnacentral:lncRNA from 1 species